UGGGGAAUAUUGCACAAUGGGCGCAAGCCUGAUGCAGCCAUGCCGCGUGUAUGAAGAAGGCCUUCGGGUUGUAAAGUACUUUCAGCGAGGAGGAAGGCGGUAAGGUUAAUAACCUUAUCGAUUGACGUUACUCGCAGAAGAAGCACCGGCUAACUCCGUGCCAGCAGCCGCGGUAAUACGGAGGGUGCAAGCGUUAAUCGGAAUUACUGGGCGUAAAGCGCACGCAGGCGGUCUGUCAAGUCGGAGGUGAAAUCCCCGGGCUCAACCUGGGAACUGCAUUCGAAACUGGCAGGCUAGAGUCUUGUAGAGGGGGGUAGAAUUCCAGGUGUAGCGGUGAAAUGCGUAGAGAUCUGGAGGAAUACCGGUGGCGAAGGCGGCCCCCUGGACAAAGACUGACGCUCAGGUGCGAAAGCGUGGGGAGCAAACA
rnacentral:rRNA from 1 species